ACCUGGCGGCGUGCCUAACACAUGCAAGUCGAACGAGAAAGUGGAGCAAUCCAUGAGUACAGUGGCGUACGGGUGAGUAACACGUGACUAACCUACCCUCGAGUGGGGAAUAACUUCGGGAAACCGAGGCUAAUACCGCAUAAUGUCUACGGACCAAAUGCGCAAGCAGCUUGAGGAGGGGGUCGCGGCUGAUUAGCUUGUUGGCGGGGUAACGGCCCACCAAGGCAAUGAUCAGUAGCCGGCCUGAGAGGGCGCACGGCCACACUGGAACUGAAACACGGUCCAGACUCCUACGGGAGGCAGCAGUGGGGAAUUUUGCGCAAUGGGGGAAACCCUGACGCAGCAACGCCGCGUGGAGGAUGAAGCCCCUUGGGGUGUGAACUCCUUUCGAUCGGGACGAUUAUGACGGUACCGGAUGAAGAAGCACCGGCUAACUCUGUGCCAGCAGCCGCGGUAAUACAGAGGGUGCAAGCGUUGUUCGGAAUUAUUGGGCGUAAAGGGUGCGUAGGCGGUGCGGUAAGUCUUCUGUGAAACCUCCGGGCUUAACUCGGAGCCUGCAGGGGAAACUGCCGGGCUGGAGGAUGGGA
rnacentral:rRNA from 1 species